CAUGGUAUCAGUCAUGAAUGGUACAGUCCAUCGUAUCUGAGUUCGGCUCUGUAGCUUCGCUUUGCGUGCGCGCUGCAGUUUCCUGUGAAGGGUUGAUGCAGGAGAGAACCAUGGCGGCCACUGAAAUAGCGCGACAAGCGGGAGAAGGUGCACGUGCCGUCCCACUCUCUGGUCAUGUUGGCUUCGACAGCAUGCCGGACCAGCUGGUCAACAAGUCCGUCAACCAUGGCUUCUGCUUCAAUAUCCUCUGCGUGGGCGAGACGGGUUUGGGAAAGUCCACCCUCAUGGACACCCUGUUCAACACCAAAUUUGAGGGUGAACCUACACAGCACAAUCAGCCUGGAGUACAGCUCAAAUCCAACACUUACGAGCUGCAGGAGAGCAACGUUCGCCUCAAGCUCACUGUGGUCAACACUGUAGGCUUUGCAGAUCAGAUCAAUAAAGAGGACAGUUACAAAUCUAUUGUGGAGUUCAUCGAUGCUCAGUUUGAAGCGUACCUUCAGGAGGAACUGAAGAUUAAACGCACCCUACACAGUUAUCAUGAUACACGGAUCCACGCCUGUCUGUAUUUCAUCGCUCCCACUGGACACUCGUUGAAGUCCCUUGACCUGGUUACUAUGAAGAAGUUGGACAGUAAGGUGAAUAUCAUCCCUAUCAUCGCCAAAUCAGAUGCCAUCUCAAAGAGUGAACUUGCUAAGUUCAAAAUUAAGAUCACAAGUGAGUUGGUGAGCAACGGCGUCCAGAUCUACCAGUUUCCCACUGACGAUGAGACUGUGGCGGAGAUCAACUCAACCAUGAAUGGUCAUUUGCCUUUUGCAGUGGUGGGAAGCACUGAGGAAGUGAAGAUUGGGAACAAGAUGGUGCGAGCACGCCAGUACCCUUGGGGAACCGUCCAGGUGGAGAAUGAGAAUCACUGUGAUUUCGUGAAGCUGAGAGAAAUGCUGAUCAGGGUCAACAUGGAGGACCUGCGAGAGCAGACUCACACUCGCCACUAUGAGCUAUACCGCCGCUGCAAGCUGGAGGAGAUGGGAUUCAAAGACACAGACCCUGACAGCAAACCCUUCAGCCUCCAGGAAACAUACGAGGCCAAGAGGAAUGAAUUCAUGGGAGAGCUGCAGAAGAAAGAGGAGGAGAUGAGGCAGAUGUUUGUCCAGAGAGUCAAAGAGAAGGAGGCAGAGCUGAAAGAGGCAGAAAAGGAGCUUCAUGAAAAGUUUGACCGUCUCAAGAAGCUUCACCAGGAUGAGAAGAAGAAACUAGAGGACAAGAAGAAGGCUCUUGAUGAUGAGCUAAACGGCUUCAAGCAGAAGAAGACGGCUGCUGAGCUGCUGCAGGCCCAGACUCAGCAGGCAGGUAGCUCUGCCACACUCAAGAAGGAUAAAGAGAGGAAAAACUGAUUUGCUGCAUUCACCUGAGUGUUAUAUGGGAGGAAGACACUUGCACUGACAAGUUCAGGAUUCCUGUAGAAAGUGCUCCCCCUGCCCGCUGUGAAUGAGCUCUUCCCCCCUCAGUGUUCCUGAGCCAUGCUGUUCCCGUUCUCUCCCCCCCCCCCCUCUCUCCUGUCCCGUCCCCCCAGUUUCAUGCAUAACACAGCUGAGGAGGGAUAAUAACUGUGAAUGGAAUCCUUCUUUAGAUUAACUCCUUUUUUAGAUUGUUUAACUCCUAAAAAAUUUUACAUGCGAUUUUUCUUUGUUUUACUUGCUGUGUUAUGAUGUCAUGAUGAUAUUGCUUUGUUCUGCAUGACUAGUGUUUGAUUCAACUUUAACAUGCGUGGCUACUGUUGUUGUGGGUAUGCAGUAGUUGAGUACACAGGUUAAAAUGGGACAAAUUCUAUUAGUAGUACCAUAAUUGUCAUUAGUGUUAUAAUUGGAAGAUGCAUGAGCUGCUUUCAGUUCAGUCAUGCAGUGAGAUUUAAGGCAUUUUACCCUGUUUUCUAAUGGAACAUGAUAUUUUGUCUCAUUUUAGCUCAUGCAUGUUAUACAGAUGCUGUCUGGUGAUCUGUAGCCAUACCUCAAUGUUUUUUUUUUUUUUUUUUUUUUAAACUGUUAUUGCUAUGCUUGUAUUAGUUUAGAAAAACUUUGGCACAUCUCAUCCAAAUGUAAGCACCUUUUAUAACUCUUUAUUUUUGUGACAUUUUAUUUUUCACAAAAUUAAUUAAAAAAAAAAAACUUUCUAAUAAAUAUCAAUUGCGAAAGGAUCAAUAUUUGUAUCAGUAAUAAAGGGCAUUCUUUCAUAAACCUUUAAACUGUGGGAAAGUCAUUGUGUAUGAAUAUCAGACAAUUAAUCCUACAUUUUAUUAUUUGCAUUAUUCAUAAAAGUGUGCAUGUUUAUGCACUCAGGGUGACAUGGCCGGUGUUUGAUUUGCUUACUCUGUAUUGAAAAAUCUUGAUUCCUCAAUUUAUGCUUUGAUUAUUUGCUUUAGGAAGGAGCUGGACUUUCACCUAUGAAGCAAUUUAUUACAUCUUAAUGCUUAACGGAGUAUAUAUAAUGAGACUAAUCAUACAUCUGAAUUUAUUUUCUAAAGGUUUGGCCUGUAUUCUCAAGUGAAGUAAUUUGACCACCACCACAAGUCAAAUGACAUAAACGUCAUUAUAAGAUCCUUGUAUGAGGAAGUUUAGUCUAGGCGAGUUUUCUGAGUCACUGCACAGUUACAGUUAAAGAUAGACUGUUCAGCAAAAUCAAAGUGAUUCUGUUGGUUCUAUGCUGGAUGACAGUGUUUUAUAUUGUAUCUGGAUGCUGGUCUUUCGACAAGUGGUAUUGAUGUGAUUGAUAUUUAUCAUCUAUUAACGCUUUUGCUCCCUCCAGUGUCCCUGCUCACUGCAGUGUGUGUAUUUACUUUCCUUUGCAGUAAUCCCUGGCUCUGCACUGAGUAGUAUGGCUUUGAUAAGGGACCAGGCCCAGACUCUUUGGUUAACCGGUACCCAAAGGCUAAGGGGAGGCAGUGUGGACCAAGCCCUCUGCGUUUCUCAUAAAUCACCUCUUGUAUUUUGAUUUUUGGGCUCUUUCUGCAGCUUUUACUAACAUUUGUAUUUAUUGUGUUACCAAAACCUUUGCUUAAGGCUGUGCUUUUUUUGUGGUGUGAUUUUUGAUGCUUUGUGUGACUAAUAUGCUUAAAGGGAAUAGUUCACCCAAAACUUAAAUUUGCGAAACCUUUAAUCACUUCAGGCCAUCCGGGAUGUAGAUGAGUUUGUUUCUUCAUCAGAACAGAUUUGGGUAAGUUGGCAUAACAUCAAUUGCUCACCAACGGAUCCUCUGAAGUGUGCCGUCAGAAUGAGAGUUCAAACGGCUGAUAAAAACAUCACAAUAAUCCACUCCAUUUCAUCAGUUAAAGUUUUUACCCAUUCACUUCAGAGAAUCCAUUGGUGAGCAAGUAAUGCAAUGCUAAAUUUCUUCAAAUCUGUUCCGACGAAGAAACAAACUCCUCUACACGAGGGCGAGAAAUUCUUUAGGGUGGUGAACUAUUCCUUUAAAGUUUGUGCCGCUUCAGAGAGGUGGGGAGGGAAAAUGCAAUCAUUACAAUCACUGUCCCAGUUAAGCUGUUUUAUUCUUCGCUAAGCUUUAGAUUGUGUUAAUGUUGACCACAAUUUAAAAUAUAGAAUGCAAGAUGAGCUAAUCCAUGCACAUUUAAAAGCAAAUUCACAAUGCAUUUGAAGUAAGGCAGAAGGACGGUGUGUUCCUAUCCGCCCACAUUUCGAAUGCUUCAUGCUUUUGGCUGGCAAAAGAAAAAUCCGAGUGCCCAUUUCCAAUUGACUGAAUUAAACUUGUCUUCCCACUGGUGCUGUUGAGUUUAGUGGCCUCCUGAUACUUUCUCUAAUCUGCGUUUGUCUCCUCUCUUCUUCUAGCUUCUUUUAACUCUGUCUUGGCCACCUGUUGGAAGAGGGGAUUGCAGCUUCCACGAGAACUAAGCGUCCACUCCUCUUCUUCCUGUCUUUUUCACUCCGUCAGCCUUGUUUGAAUAUUUUAUUUCAUUGUUUUUUUUUAUUUUUAAACUUUCAUGCUGUGUGCCCUGUUGAACAUGGCCUUAUGUGGGCUUAACAUGGUAUUUUUCAACAAAUAUUAGCUCUGUUUCCUAAUUAGGGCAUGCUAAGCAGUCCCUCAUUAGUAUUUUUACAGGCAUCUUUGCUGGUGACACCAGAGCCAAAGCUCUAGUAGAAAGGCUGUGAACUGAAGGAGUUUUUUCAGUUUAGCUUUUUAUGUCUAUGAUAUUGCCUUGCAGUCUCAAUCUGUUCAAUUAAACAAUCGUUUUGUUUCUUUCAUGAAUACAUGUGUUUGUGAAUGAACCUGCAUGUCCUCAUCAACAUUAACACAGAGUAAACUGUGGGGAGCGAGCGGAUACUAACUUAUUUGCAAACACUAUGUAUAAUUUAGGGUGUGAAUUAAGCUGAGUAAGAUUAUCUUUAAUACGACUUGAUGACAUUUUGACACGCUGGCUGUGAAUUUUGAGAAUAUUCCAAAGAAAAUGGGCCCGAAAGUUCCUGAUUGUUAAUGAAGCAAAAUGUGUUAAGCGAGAGAUGUUUAAUUGUAAUUUUAAUGAGAAUCUUUAUUUGAAAGCAUGAGGUAAAUAUAAGCAAAAUCUGAGAGGUUUGUAUUGUAUGUUUUGUAAUGCCCUAUACAUUUCAAGUCUUAAAUAGUCUCAGCAAUAUAGUUAUACUUUAUUUAAAAUAUAAUCUUAAAGAAUAAUGACGCACCUAUCGAAAUACCAUGUAGGUCACAUUCAGUGCCACUUUUUUAUAUUCUUUAUCUUCUGUUCUUUUGCAUGCCCUGAACAUACUUUUGUUUAAUAUAUGGAGUUAUUCUUUGCUUAGACAUAUUUACACUUCAGUGCUUCUUAAUUUGGACUAUUUUAUUACAUGUAUUUAUUCCAGGUACAAUGUGCAGUUACAUUCGAUUCCCAUUUUGCCAGAUAUUGCGUUUAGAUAUAUGUCAAGGGUUUUCAGUCAUUUAAUUUAAAAUAAGUCAGUUACGAGGUACAGACAGUCAUGCAUAUGUGCAGUACAUAUAAUUUUUAAGGACCUAUUUUGCGUAUCAAUGUCGAGACAUGUUUUACUGAUUAAUGACAUUAUUGACAAGUGACUGUUUUCUGUGUGAAACAUUGUCAAAACUGACCUACAUUUUUCUAGUCAUCUUCCAUAUUUUCCCCUUAAUGUCAAUUACCCCCACCCCUGUAAUACAAAUUUGUGAAAUAUUUAACUGUAGUAAGAUUCCAUGGUGUACAUUUUCAAUAAAACAUUUAAAAACCUGA